GACGAACGCUGGCGGCGUGCCUAAUACAUGCAAGUCGAACGAGAGCGACCGGUGCUUGCACUGGUCAAUCUAGUGGCGAACGGGUGAGUAACACGUGGGUAACCUGCCCAUCAGAGGGGGAUAACAUCCGGAAACGGAUGCUAAAACCGCAUAGGUCUUCGAACCGCAUGGUUUGAAGAGGAAAAGAGGCGCAAGCUUCUGCUGAUGGAUGGACCCGCGGUGCAUUAGCUAGUUGGUGAGGUAACGACUCACCAAGGCCGUGAUGCAUAGCCGACCUGAGAGGGUGAUCGGCCACAUUGGGACUGAGACACGGCCCAAACUCCUACGGGAGGCAGCAGUAGGGAAUCUUCCGCAAUGGACGCAAGUCUGACGGAGCAACGCCGCGUGAGUGAAGAAGGUUUUCGGAUCGUAAAACUCUGUUGUUAGAGAAGAACAAGUGCUAGAGUAACUGUUAGCGCCUUGACGGUAGCUAACCAGAAAGCCACGGCUAACUACGUG
rnacentral:rRNA from 1 species